CUUGGAAAGCUCCUAAUAAAGAUGUAAAGUUUUCAUGAGCGCAGAGGAAUGGGCCUCAUAUGAGAAAUUCAGAUUUCAACCGAGUCUAAAAAAAUUUACUAGUUCUAUCAGAAUUAAAAAUAAAACAUCACACCGCUGAUAUAGGCCUCCCUAUCCCAGAAUAACUUCAUUUAACAUUUUUAAGCUGUUUCUUCUAAUACAUAUUUUUAUCUUUUUCAGGGAUUUUCUGGUAUUUAAUAGUAUUCCAAGCCUUGGAUAGCAUCUGUUGACUUACAGGAUGAAGAUUUAGAUUUCACACUGUAUCGCUGGUUUGAGUACCUUGUUAAAAGCUGUGAUAAGGAAUCUAACCCACCCAGUUUGUAGAAUUUCAGGUAUAAGUUGAGACACUAUCUAAUUCUAUGCACUCAUACAUAUUGUGACCUAAUUUUCUCAGCCACCCAAAUGCACAUCCAUUAUCCAUUGUUCUUGAAGGUAUUUAUUUCUCUUUAUUUCCAUAGUGUCUCAGUUACUUACCACCUGAGUAAUUCACUUUUUAACUUGUUUUAGUUUUAUUUAGCUCUCACUGAUUGUUUUUACAGCAUUUUUAUAAUUUGUUACAAGGGUUUGAGCAUUUAUAUAAAGGUUGUAAGCUGUGUUCAGAAAAGAGGAGUUUAUUAUGUCUUUUCCCCUUCCUAGGUGCUUCAGGAUACUGCCUAAGAUUUUCCCACCCUUCUUUAUGAUAGCUCAAAUGCCCAUCUGUUUCUUAUGAAAGUUGAGCUUACAGAAAAUCAGAACUCAUCAGAUUAAAACUUCCUCUGAAAAAUAUUCCAGGUUUUUCUGUUCAAGCUGUGCUUCUUAUUUUUGAGAGCUUAAUGGAUACUCAAAUCACAUCUCCCAUUCCUACAUCACUCUUUAAAGGAGUGUCAGUGGUAGCUGUUUCACAGACAGAUCAUCACAUUGCAACACGCUUGGGAUUAGGCAGGUGUUACAUGUAUAUCAUACUUUUUACUUUAUCUUCUUUUUAGUUACUCUCAUUUCACUUUGUGAAGUUGCUAUUUCCAUUUUGCAGGGUAAAACAAAAACAGAGAACAAGAUAUUCACAGAGGUUAACAUUCACCAAAGGUAACAAAGUAAGUUGUUUAGAUCUGAUUCACUCACUACUCUACACUAUUCUGGGAUAUGAAUAUACCAAAACUUUUGUUAUCCCUUUGCUAUUGAUAGUUAAGUGUUUCCAUAUGUUUAUUUUAUAAAUAAUAUUUCAGUGAAUAACUCUGCACACCUGUAAGUGGAAUAACUAAAUUCACUUCACUUCAGCUCACUUCACUAGAUCCUGCUUCAAGUACCAACACAGUCCUACAGGCAGUGAAUGCAAUUUUCUUUCUCCACAUUCUUGCAAAAUUUUAUUAUAAAACUGUAUUAUUUGCUUCCAUUUAAAAUGAAAUAUCUUAAAGUAUAUUUCUCUGAUGUUUUGUGAAUUGAGAAUCUUUUAUAAUUUUACAAGGCAGGUAAUUUUCACUUUUUAGGGUCCUAGCUCAGUGAUGGUGAACCUUGUAGAGCUUUCAAUGAUGACAAACAGCCCGCUGCUGCACAUUACACUUUUGCUCAAUUUUUAGUUUUUCUUUUUUUUUUUCUUAUUAUAGGCUGAAGAUGCUAGAGGGAGGAACACAGCAAUAUCAGAAAUAACUAAGAUAACACGUGACCUUCAGUGUUGUUUUCUUACAAAAGCCACAGACACAUCAGUAGGAUGGAUGGCAAAGGCUAUCUGGAAUGGAGGAUUGGAUCUGACCUCAGCUGUUCACUAUGCUGAAAGCCAAGAGAAUCGACAUAGAAUUAACAGUGGAAUGGAAUGCAUCCAUUUUAUCAGGUGUGGCUCAAGGCCUUAAACAAACUAUUACUGCAUGCAAAGAACAGCAGUGAACUAACCUUGAAAUAAUAGCAUGGCGCUCUGUUGGGGAUUUCAGCCCCUCUCUUUAUACUGCUGUCAUCCUUCAAAAUCCUUAAAGCCACCAUAUAAAUUCAAUGAACACCUAUACGAUUUCAUCCCAUUCAGUGAAAACCUAUGAUUUCAAGUGGUUUCUUUUGAGGGGGUGGCUUUGUCAAAUCACAAUUAAAGACCAUGAGGUACUUGUAAGAGAGUCUACCACUGCUACAAAUAUGUUCAUCUUUCUAGGCUACAAAGAAAAAUGAGGCAUUGCACUGUUCAGCACUGAUGAAGGCUACCACUGAUGUACGUUGCAAGCAGAACUAAAAAACAGACUCCACUCUGGCAACUCAUAAUGAAAUUUAGAUGUUCAGAAUUUCAAUCAGUGGUAGCAUUGACAGAAAUCUGACUGGGACAUGGCUAAGGGUUUCUGACUUUGGCUCAGCCAACUGCCUUUUAAAGGUUUGAACUAUAGGAGGGCCCACUGUCUUAGUUUGACUUUUCCAUUUAAGUUAGGAAAUCUGAGAGAUUCAGCAUCACAACUGUUCAUUUGAUUAGUCAGUACACAGAAUAAUAAUAUACUGUGACUCUAAAUUGGAGAACUUUGGAACUGGAAGGGACACUGUUGAGGUAUGUCAUACUUAUAUUUUACUGGUGGAGAAAAGAAGCCCUGGGGGGAGGGCAGUAAUUCAGAGCUCCAAUGUGAGACCAUGUCCUGUAGUGCUUGCAAAUCUAGCUUGUCAUAUACCAAGGAGUCCACUUUAGUUCAUUCAGGUUGCCAUAUUAACAAAAUACUACAAACAAGGCAGCUUACAAACAAUAAAUAUUUAUUUUUUAUACUUCUGAAGGCUGUGAAAUGCAAGAUCAAGAUGCCAGCAGAUUCGGUGUUAGGGGAGGAUCUGUUCUUGAUACAUUUGCCUUCUUUCUGUGGCCUCACAUGUUGGAAUGGACAAGGCAGUUCUCUGGAUUCUCCUUUAUUAGGGCACUAGUCCUCUUCCCUCUUUAAAAUGGGAAUUGGAUGAUACAAUUUUUGACAGACCAGUAUGAUAGCAGUAAAAUCAAGAUGCUGCCUGUGUGCACCCCAGGGACAGCAUGAUUGCUGCCUCACAAGCAGUCACUUACAGGGUAGAAAAGAACUAAUGGAUGUACAGUGUGGGCCCACAGCAUCUGCUUAGGAGCAGGAAUAAAUAAAGCAUUAAGUCAGAAGCAUUUAUUUCCACCUUCAUCUUCUUGUUAUAAGAGAAGGGAAAGAUCUUGGAAUACAUUGUACCUACAUCUAAAUGAGCUCAGCCUAUUUCUAUUAGAGGUCAGCCUAGGUUUCAAAGUCAGAGCAAAAGAAUCUGGAUACACAGGAUUUGGAAGAUAUGGGAUAGGCCACUGUGUGGCAGAGGCAUGUGAUAGACUGUCAUAGGUCCAAUUUCCAUCCCUGGCUCUACUACAGAUGAGCUGGUGGCUUUCUGCAGUCCACUUUAUCUAGGCCUUUCAAUUAUGAAUGAGCAAUGAAGGGCCAGAACACCUCUGUUGGUCUUAACAACUGACAUUCUGACACUCAGUUUUUUUUUUUUCCUGACCAUUUCAGGAAGUGGGUUCCUUUUAACAGUUUUCUGCUGCCUUCUCAGCAUCAUGCUCAUAGGGUGAGAACAAGCAAUUUUAAAUGGGUGUGUCAGAAGGUCUUGGCUAUUAUAAAACAACAGCUAAUAUGCUUUAUAAUGCCAAUGAACACCAGAAGACACUAAGCACAGCUUAUGAUGAUGCUCCCUAAAAUUUCUUAUGCUAUGAGAGAUCACAUCUCACUGACAUAUUGUUUAGAUAUUCGGAAUAAUCUCCUGGAGAUGACCUUGACUUGGUAUCCAAGUGAGUAACUGGUGCCACGAGCAGAAAGAACCCGAUCUUAUGGUGAUUGGGUCAGCACAGACCCUGGGUCCUAUGGUCAGGGUUCCAAUCACAUUGUGGUACAUGUCUGAAGAACAUGUAUCACUGUAGUCCUUGAUGUUUUCUGCCCCAAUUUCUGGUGACUGGGAUCUAGAAUGUCCCCUGGAAGACUUGGGUGCCAGUUGAUAGACUUUUAGAAAUUGGUUAUAUCCUAGGGCUGUAAUUUUACCAGUGGCUUAACUCAUUUGAUUCAUAAUUUUAUUGCAUUAUUGGAAAAUGAUGGACUCUUAGGAGAUGAAGCUUAACUGUGCAGCUAGGGGCUUUGAUUUGAAGAUUGUAUUUUGUCCCCAUUUCCUUGUACUCUGGCUUUCUCAUUCUUUCUACUUGCUGAUGGUUAGAGGUGAGCAGCUAUGCCUAUAUUCUCUCUGCCAUGAUGCUCUGCCUCAUAUAGGCCCAGAGACAAUGCAGCCAACCAACCAUGGACUGAAACCUCUGUAAAUCUGAAGAAAUCUUUCUUCUUUUAAGUUAUUAUUCUCAGGUAUUCUGUCACAGCUAACACAUGGUUCUUGUCUGUAAACACAGGUAUGUGAUGUCACAGAAAAAAACAGAACACCAGACAUCCUUCAGAGUGUUACAGGAAGACAUUUCAGACUGUCUGUAGAAGAUGUAUGUGUAGAUCACAGUCAAAAUGUAACUAAUAUUAAGCUUGGCCCAUGCUUCAUCAUGCUGAAUAGAGGAAUUAAAGGCCUACAAAUAGUAGACUGGAGUGGCGGAGAGACUCCAGAUUAUGGCCUGAUGGUUCCACUGGAAGUUUAGGACAUCCCAAACUAGAAAAAAAUGAUGAGAGGUAUUGUGAACAUCCAGCUGUUAGUUUAAAGUAUGAGGCAGCUUGGUCAAGAAUAAAAAUCAAUGUGAAUACAAAUUUAAAUUCUGCCAUUUACUAGGUGCUUGACAAUAUGGAACCUAUUUUUUAUUUAAAACUUUGGCCUGUAUAAACUAUGCUAUUAAUAUUGCUCCUAAAGCUUUGUUGUUAGGAUUAAAUACAAUGAUAUAUGCAAAGUCUCUUGGAUCCUCUCUCAUGGAUGGAUUCUAUGGUACCACGUGGUAUGAUGAACAGUUCUGGGAAGACAGCAGCCUGUUUUGACUGUGGCGUCUUCGAAGAGAUGUGGUUUCUGGCCAGUAUAGUACAGUGUCAAAUAUUAAGUCGGUGCUCUGCGCUGUUUGUUGUGGUUUCCUUCUCAUCACUGGAAUCAGCUGGGUCUCUGGGUUAAUAGUUCUCAAUGACUUUAAAUGAUGAGAAUGUGCUUGAAUAACAUCCAGGAGAUUAGGAGAGGUAACUUCUUUGCAUGUCAUAUAUAAUACAAAUACUACUUUUGACAAAGAUUUUAGACUUGUCUAAUCUUGAUCUGUAAGUGGAUUUUAAACUGGUUUAACCCAAGACAUAUUUUCAUGUCCUACUUAUUCUUUGUCUUAUUAGAAAUCUUACCUGUCCUUUGAACCUGGAAGGUCAAAUAAAUGAGAGGUGGUUGUCCUUUCUGUUUUUCAGUUUUUUCUCAGUUAACUCAUUGUUAAUUAUGUUAUAUUUGCAAUAUACAUUAAAAUGUAAAAUAACAUAGCUGCACACACAGUCUAUUAAGAGAUAUUGGAAGCACAAAAUCUCUUUCAAAGUGGAAGAAAAGCUGUUUGUAGAAAAACCUUUAAGGCAGUACUAAAGAAACUCUAAUUCUGGGUUAAUAAGUAUGCUGUUUUCUUAAUGUAAAA